rnacentral:rRNA from 1 species
UACUGGCAGUCUCGAGUUCGAGAGAGGUGAGUGGAACCUCCGAGUGUAGAGGUGAAAUUCGUAGAUAUUCGGAAGAACACCAGUGGCGAAGGCGGCUCACUGGCUCGAUACUGACGCUGAGGUGCGAAAGUGUGGGGAGCAAACAGGAUUAGAUACCCUGGUAGUCCACACCGUAAACGAUGAAUGCCAGACGUCGGGCAGCAUGCUGUUCGGUGUCACACCUAACGGAUUAAGCAUUCCGCCUGGGGAGUACGGCCGCAAGGUUAAAACUCAAAGGAAUUGACGGGGGCCCGCACAAGUGGUGGAGCAUGUGGUUUAAUUCGAAGCAACGCGCAGAACCUUACCAACCCUUGACAUCCUCGUCGCGGUUACCGGAGACGGUUUCCUUCAGUUCGGCUGGACGAGUGACAGGUGCUGCAUGGCUGUCGUCAGCUCGUGUCGUGAGAUGUUCGGUUAAGUCCGGCAACGAGCGCAACCCACACCCUUAGUUGCCAGCAGUUCGGCUGGGCACUCUAGGGGAACUGCCCGUGAUAAGCGGGAGGAAGGUGUGGAUGACGUCAAGUCCUCAUGGCCCUUACGGGUUGGGCUACACACGUGCUACAAAGGCAGUGACAAUGGGGUAAUCCCAAAAAACUGUCUCAGUUCGGAUUGUCGUCUGCAACUCGACGGCAUGAAGUCGGAAUCGCUAGUAAUCGCGUAACAGCAUGACGCGGUGAAUACGUUCCCGGGCCUUGUACACACCGCCCGUCACACCAUGGGAGUUGGGUUUACCCGAAGACGGUGCGCCAACCUCGGAGGCAGCCGGCCACAGGUAAGCUCAGCGACUGG